rnacentral:rRNA from 1 species
CUACGGGUGGCUGCAGUGGGGAAUAUUGGACAAUGGGGGAAACCCUGAUCCAGCAAUGCCGCGUGUGUGAAGAAGGCCUGCGGGUUGUAAAGCACUUUCGGUUGGGAGGACUGCUUCUAGCACUAAUAUUGUUGGAAGUUGACGUUACCUUCAGAAGAAGCACCGGCUAACUCCGUGCCAGCAGCCGCGGUAAUACGGAGGGUGCAAGCGUUAAUCGGAAUUACUGGGCGUAAAGCGCGCGUAGGCGGCUAGAUCAGUCGGGGGUGAAAGCCCCGGGCGUAACCUGGGAACUGCAUCCGAUACUGUCUAGCUUGAGUACAGGAGAGGAGAGUGGAAUUCCAGGUGUAGCGGUGAAAUGCGUAGAGAUCUGGAGGAAUACCGAUGGCGAAGGCAGCCUUUUGGCCUAAUACUGACGCUGAGGUGCGAAAGCAUGGGGAGCAAACAGGAUUAGAUACCCGGGUAGUC